rnacentral:rRNA from 1 species
UACAGAGGGGGCAAGCGUUGUUCGGAAUUACUGGGCGUAAAGGGCGCGUAGGCGGCCUGCUAAGUCGAACGUGAAAUCCCUGGGCUCAACCCAGGAACUGCGUCCGAUACUGGCAGGCUUGAAUCCGGGAGAGGGAUGUGGAAUUCCAGGUGUAGCGGUGAAAUGCGUAGAUAUCUGGAGGAACACCGGUGGCGAAGGCGGCAUCCUGGACCGGUAUUGACGCUGAGGCACGAAAGCCAGGGGAGCAAACGGG